GCCCGUGAAGAGGCGGGCAUGAAACAAUAAGACGAGCAGACCCUAUGGAGCUUUAAUUUAUUAAUGCAAUUAAAACUACAUAAAUCUACCGCUUAUACCACUACACCUGCACUAAAAAUUUUGGUUGGGGUGACCUCGGAGCAUAACUAAACCUCCGAACAACCUAUGCUAAGGCUACACAAGCCAAACCGGACUAACACCUAUAAUUAAUCCAAUAACUUCACCAAUGGAACAAGUUACCCUAGGGAUAACAGCGCAAUCCCAUUCCAGAGUCCAUAUCGACAAUAGGGUUUACGACUUCGAUGUUGGAUCAGGACAUCCUAAUGGUGCAGCAGCUAUCAAGGGUUCGUUUGUUCAACAAUUAAAGUCCUACGUGAUCUGAGUUCAGACCGGAGCAAUCCAGGUCGGUUUCUAUCUAUUCUAUA
rnacentral:ncRNA from 1 species